GACGAACGCUGGCGGCGUGCUUAACACAUGCAAGUCGAACGGAAAGGCCCUGCUUUUGCGGGGUGCUCGAGUGGCGAACGGGUGUGUAACACGUGAGUAACCUGCCCUUGACUUUGGGAUAACUUCAGGAAACUGGGGCUAAUACCGGAUAGGAGCUCCUGCUGCAUGGUGGGGGUUGGAAAGUUUCGGCGGUUGGGGAUGGACUCGCGGCUUAUCAGCUUGUUGGUGGGGUAGUGGCUUACCAAGGCUUUGACGGGUAGCCGGCCUGGGAGGGUGACCGGGCACAUUGGGCCUGAGAUACGGCCCAGACUCCUACGGGAGGCAGCAGUGGGGAAUAUUGCACAAUGGGCGGAAGCCUGAUGCAGCAACGCCGCGUGCGGGAUGACGGCCUUCGGGGUGUGAACCGCUUUCGCCUGUGACGAAGCGUGAGUGACGGUAAUGGGUAAAGAAGCACCGGCUAACUACGUG
rnacentral:rRNA from 1 species